GCCCCUGUAGCCCAACAGGAAGAGGUGCCUCGCUUAGAACGAGGAGGUUGCUGGUUCAAAUCCAGCCAGGGGUA
rnacentral:tRNA from 1 species